rnacentral:lncRNA from 1 species
UGAACUGAUUAUAACUACUUGUCAUAUGUGACUGUUAACUUCAUAACAGUUUGGCCAGGCAUUCUAAUAGAUAUCUUGCUAAUAGCCAUAUCACAUCUUGUGCCCACUAUUUAUAAAAAAACUUCACUCAUAUUAUGCUGCUGGCUAAAUAGUCCCUAAGAAAUUAAUUUAGGUUUUAAAAAGACAGAGGAUGCAAGUUGCAGUGUGCCAUUCUCCUCCCCUCUUCGCCCCCUGCCCCCAUUCUUAAUUUGUAGGCUCAUCUGACCUGGAAACAUGGAAUCACAAAAAACAUAGCCAAUUUUCCAGCAUCCAUGAGCUGAUGAACCAAUUUGUGGAGCAUCAAACCAGUUUCUACUCUUUUAGUCAUUUUGCUUUUAAAAACUCCCAAUCAGAGAAAGGAAAAGGAAAAGCAAGGGCAAAAACCUCUCCAUUUUUAAUGUAAAAAAUAUCACUCUGAUUUCUUUGUUUUGAAUAAAAACACACAAAUAUUUAAAGGUAAUGGAGCAUCAGGUGAGGGAAAACAAUGGUUUAGAAAAAUAGUGUGUAUGUGCACACAUUUGUGUGUCUGUGUGAGAAAGAGAGAGGUGGGGAGAGAGAAUACGAUAAAUUACUAAAUGUGGUAAAAUGCAAACAUUUGGGGAUAUGCUAAAACCAUGCUGUACAGUAGAAAACUGACAGAACACUGUAAACCAGCUAUAAUGGAAAAAAAUAAAAAUCAUUGUAUAAAAAGAUAAUAAUAAAUACUUGAAAAGCUGCACCCUGGAUGAAGGAAGCAUGACAUAUGAAACUUUCCUUCCAUUCUGCUUUGUGACAAUCUCAGGCCAUAAUUAAGCAGAUGAGGUGGUAAAGACUGAGAUUCUUUCUCCAGCCCAUUCACAGGGUUGGUGGAGGUGGUGCAGGAUACAGAUCAGAGGUUACUCAAGGGGAGGGAGGCACACCCAGAGGCAGAGAAGGGAGAGGGGAAGACAAAAUCGUCUUCAGACCACAGUUUUGCAGCAGAGGUUAUAGGAGAUAAUAGACUCUCCAGGCUAGAUGGGAGGCUAGGAAGCUAGGAAAGAUGUAUGUGGUGGGGAAACUAAACCAGCUCUUCUCCAUUGGGUGUUCACAGCUACAGCCUGCAUUUGUGUGGUCUGAAGCACGUUCUAGCUUCUAAGUAAGAUAUAUUUUUUACUCUGCAGCAACGCAGAAGUAAUGACCAAAACCAAGGAUUCUUUAAAACAAAAAACAG